AGAGUUUGAUCCUGGCUCAGGAUGAACGCUGGCGGCGUGCCUAACACAUGCAAGUCGAGCGAAGCACUUUGCUUAGAUUCUUUCGGGAUGAAGAGUGAUUUGACUGAGCGGCGGACGGGUGAGUAACGCGUGGGCAACCUGCCUCACACAGGGGGAUAACAGUUAGAAAUAGGUGCUAAUACCGCAUAAGCGCACAGGGCCGCAUGGCCCGGUGUGAAAAGCUCCGGCGGUGUGAGAUGGACCUGCGUCUGAUUAGCCAGUUGGCGGGGUAACGGCCCACCAAAGCGACGAUCAGUAGCCGGCCUGAGAGGGUGGACGGCCACAUUGGGACUGAGACACGGCCCAGACUCCUACGGGAGGCAGCAGUGGGGAAUAUUGCACAAUGGGGGAAACCCUGAUGCAGCGACGCCGCGUGAGCGAAGAAGUAUUUCGGUAUGUAAAGCUCUAUCAGCAGGGAAGAAACUGACGGUACCUGACUAAGAAGCACCGG
rnacentral:rRNA from 1 species